UGUGCUAGAUGGGGAGCUAGCGGUGCCCUGAACCUGCAAUCCGCUAUAGCAGGAUCGAAUGCCCUAUUGAGGUACGGCUGUGAGUCUCUGCUUUGCAGAUGUGGUGUUGAGACUUUGGUCCCACGCGGCAGGUGCUCGUGAACCCCGUCAGGUCCGGAAGGAAGCAGCGGUAAGCGAUGACCAUCUGGGUGCCGUGGGAUUGCCUGAGUUGAGUCACUUCUGUACGGUACGCUGGUGGCCGUUAUCGAAUUAGGGUGCAC
rnacentral:SRP_RNA from 1 species